rnacentral:rRNA from 1 species
GACGAACGCUGGCGGCGUGCUUAACACAUGCAAGUCGAACGGAAAGGCCCUGCUUUUGUGGGGUGCUCGAGUGGCGAACGGGUGAGUAACACGUGAGUAACCUGCCCUUGACUUUGGGAUAACUUCAGGAAACUGGGGCUAAUACCGGAUAGGAGCUCCUGCUGCAUGGUGGGGGUUGGAAAGUUUCGGCGGUUGGGGAUGGACUCGCGGCUUAUCAGCUUGUUGGUGGGGUAGUGGCUUACCAAGGCUUUGACGGGUAGCCGGCCUGAGAGGGUGACCGGCCACAUUGGGACUGAGAUACGGCCCAGACUCCUACGGGAGGCAGCAGUGGGGAAUAUUGCACAAUGGGCGGAAGCCUGAUGCAGCAACGCCGCGUGCGGGAUGACGGCCUUCGGGUUGUAAACCGCUUUCGCCUGUGACGAAGCGUGAGUGACGGUAAUGGGUAAAGAAGCACCGGCUAACUACGUGCCAGCAGCCGCGGUGAUACGUAGGGUGCGAGCGUUGUCCGGAUUUAUUGGGCGUAAAGGGCUCGUAGGUGGUUGAUCGCGUCGGAAGUGUAAUCUUGGGGCUUAACCCUGAGCGUGCUUUCAAUACGGGUUGACUUGAGGAAAGGUAGGGGAGAAUGGAAUUCCUGGUGGAGCGGUGGAAUGCGCAGAUAUCAGGAGGGAACACCAGUGGCGAAGGCGGUUCUCUGGGCCUUUCCUGACGCUGAGGAGCGAAAGCGUGGGGAGCGAACAGGCUUAGAUACCCUGGUAGUCCACGCUGUAAACGGUGGGUACUAGGUGUGGGGUCCAUUCCACGGGUUCCGUGCCGUAGCUAACGCUUUAAGUACCCCGCCUGGGGAGUACGGCCGCAAGGCUAAAACUCAAAGGAAUUGACGGGGCCCCGCACAAGCGGCGGAGCAUGCGGAUUAAUUCGAUGCAACGCGUAGAACCUUACCUGGGUUUGACAUGGAUCGGGAGUGCUCAGAGAUGGGUGUGCCUCUUUUGGGGUCGGUUCACAGGUGGUGCAUGGCUGUCGUCAGCUCGUGUCGUGAGAUGUUGGGUUAAGUCCCGCAACGAGCGCAACCCUUGUUCACUGUUGCCAGCACGUUAUGGUGGGGACUCAGUGGAGACCGCCGGGGUCAACUCGGAGGAAGGUGGGGAUGACGUCAAGUCAUCAUGCCCCUUAUGUCCAGGGCUUCACGCAUGCUACAAUGGCUGGUACAGAGAGUGGCGAGCCUGUGAGGGUGAGCGAAUCUCGGAAAGCCGGUCUCAGUUCGGAUUGGGGUCUGCAACUCGACCUCAUGAAGUCGGAGUCGCUAGUAAUCGCAGAUCAGCAACGCUGCGGUGAAUACGUUCCCGGGGCU